CAGGACGCGACCCGGCGUGUCCAAACACAGACGGGAUGGACUCUGGAGGUGUCGAGGUUCCGAGGCAGGCCUACGUCCAGCUCGCAUGGCUGCCUGGAUUUCAGACACAUGGUGUUGUUUCGGCGCUGUGAAGACUGGGAUGUCUGACUGGUGACUUUAUGAGUCACAUUGCAGCUGGCCACGGCGUUGGGUACCGCGGUUCCUGGUGUGGCGCGACGAGGAGCGGCUGCCUGACUAGUGGCAGGAGCCCAGUGGCAAGAUGACUAGCGGACUUCUGGAGAAGACGGCAAGCUGGUCGCGGCGCAGGGAUGGGCUCCAGCCGGUGUCUCAGACCUCUGCAAGGCACAGUUCUCAGCCGGACUCAUCUGCGGAAUCUUAAGUGUACACCGUCCACCCGAGGCAGCAGGCCGGCGGCGGCGGCGGACGGCGGCACUGAGCUCCAGCGGCCGCGGCGGCAACCAGUUUGUGGCACCAGCAUGUCCCAGUGCUACAAGAUAUUUAAAGGCGGAAGCUGCGAUGUAAGUGCUGACAAGAACGCAUUCAGUCUGACGGCGCGUUCAAGAUGUGCAAAGUCGCACCAACGGACGGCACGGGCUCUCACUUGACCGGCGUAGAUUCUGAACACAAAGGCCGGCGGCGGACGGCGGCGCUGAGCUCCAGCGGCCGUGGCGGCAACCAGUUUGUGGCACCAGCGUGGCCCAGGACUACAAUAUAUUUAAAGGCAGCAGCUGCGAUGUAGGUGCUGACAAGAACGCAUUCAGUCUGACGGCGCAUUCAAGAUGUGCAAAGUCGCACCAACGGACGGCACCAGCUCUCAUUUGACCGGCGUGGAUUCUGAACACAAAGGCGUCCUGCCGACGGUGCCGGCUAAUUCGUGCCGCCGAGACGAGGCCUGGCGGGCGGGGCCGGUGACGGAGCGUCCGUCGGCCACUGCCCUCUCCGCAGGCCUGACGGGCGGAGCCGGUGACGGAGCGUCCGUCGGUCACUGCCCUCUCCGCAGGCCUGGCGGGCGGAGCCGGUGACUGGAGCGUCCGUCGGCCACGCCUCAGGUGGUCACUGGUGGCCGAGCCGGUGCGGUCAGGGCGCGGCUGGUCCCGGGUACAGCUGCGGCCUGCCGGACACGGUCCACGGUGCCCUCGUGACAACUGGGACGGAAACGUUCGCGAACAUUCAUCUUAGAUGGUCCCACGUUUCUGCAGAAGGCUGUCUCAUAGUGAAGGGCAAAAGAUGGCGGGACAUUCAAAAGAUUGCCUGACGGACCGGGCUGGCCCUCCGGACCCGGCACUGUGCUGGCGUCACGCACCGAGGUGCCGACCGUCAGUGUCACCAGGUUGUCAGCCCUCCAUCUCCAGCUGGCGCGGGUCAACCCCGUCUCUGUGUGGUGCUGCUCUGAAGAGAUACGGUGCGGUGGGGAUCUCGGGCCACGCGGGCUCGGCUGAAGCGUGUUGAGUCGCGAGAUCCGCAGUCAGACAAGUGAUUUGGUGUGAGGGCGGGCCGUACCUCUGCUGACUGGAUGUGGAACUUCAGGAGCCAGUUGAAUGACUCGUCUUCCGACCGUCCAGUCGCACGGUUGCUGGCCAUCCUGUCGUGCCGAGUCUGAUGCCGCCCUGGACGGCUGGGUGUGCCAGGAUCAGCGGUGUGGUCGGCGCGCACCGCCUCAGUUUAUGGGUCGCGCCACGGACUGGGUAGCUGUUGGGGUGCUGUGGAGCUGGGGCAUUGGAGGUGCUGGCCACAGUCUGCCCCGGUCUCAACCAAAGAGCGGAGAGGGCCGCGCCGCCCUGGGCCACCGCCUGGCGCGCGCUUCUGGGUCCU